rnacentral:rRNA from 1 species
GACAGAGGGUGCAAACGUUGUUCGGAAUUACUGGACGUAAAGCGCGUGUAGGCGGCCCUGCAAGUCGGAUGUGAAAUCCCACGGCUCAACCGUGGAAGUGCAUUCGAAACUGCAGGGCUAGAGUCCUGGAGAGGAAGGUGGAAUGCUUGGUGUAGAGGUGAAAUUCGUAGAUAUCAAGCGGAACACCGGUGGCGAAGGCGGCCUUCUGGACAGUGACUGACGCUGAGACGCGAAAGCGUGGGGAGCAAACAGG